rnacentral:snoRNA from 1 species
GCGCACUGACAAUUGGGUGGACUUCCUUGUUUGUGGUUUUCCAAUCUCAUUCCAGUGCAAGAUGAACCUCGGUUUGCAGAAGGGUUGAGUUAGACCAAUGACUCCCCCCUUUCGAAGGCUGAGAACAAAG